rnacentral:rRNA from 1 species
AUUGAACGCUGGCGGCAGGCCUAACACAUGCAAGUCGAACGAGUGGCGGACGGGUGAGUAAUGUCUGGGAAACUGCCCGAUGGAGGGGGAUAACUACUGGAAACGGUAGCUAAUACCGCAUACCAUCGGAUGUGCCCAGAUGGGAUUAGCUAGUAGGUGGGGUAACGGCUCACCUAGGCGACGAUCCCUAGCUGGUCUGAGAGGAUGACCAGCCACACUGGAACUGAGACACGGUCCAGACUCCUACGGGAGGCAGCAGUGGGGACUAUUGCACAAUGGGCUGAAGCCGGAUGCAGCCAUGCCGAGUGUAUGAAGAAGGCCUUCGGGUGGUAAAGUACUUUCAGCGAGGAGGCGGUACUCGCAGAAGAAGCACCGGCUAACUCCGUGCCAGCAGCCGCGGUAAUAC